UACGUAGGGGCCUAGCGUUGUCCGGAUUUAUUGGGCGUAAAGAGCGUGUAGGCGGUUAGGUAGGUCCGUUGUGAAAACUCGAGGCUCAACCUCAAGGCGCCGAUGGAAACCAUCUAACUAGAGUCCGGAAGAGGAGAGUGGAAUUCCUGGUGUAGCGGUGAAAUGCGCAGAUAUCAGGAAGAACACCCGUGGCUAAGGCGGCUCUCUAGUACGGUACUGACGCUGAGACGCGAAAGCGUGGGGAGCGAACAGG
rnacentral:rRNA from 1 species